GAGAGUCGCCAUCAGCAUCGGGUCUCCCGACCUUAGGUGUCUUGCUGCCUUCGCCCUUGAGUUCCAGCUAGCGGAUGCUUCCGUCGAUGCACUCUGCCCAUCGGAACAUAACUCGUUCUGCUUGGUGUCGCCCUUAGGCGCAGCCAUGGCGCUCUGCCCCAAACCCCCAGAUUGAACGACAACAGGCCACCAAGGAUAAAACUCAACAGACUGAACUCAAGAAGAAAUGGUGAAAGAGUUGGCCAUUCUUACCUUUCUGAGUCUGCCAGAAGUUGAAUCAAAAUUCUUUCCCUUUGAGAGUUGGUACACGAAGGAAGAUAUGAAGGAUAAUUUGUUGACUGAAAUUAUAGAAGAAAGGGUUGUUGGCUAAUAGUAUAAAGAGUGGAGUUGGUGCUGAUACUUGAGUGUUUGACAAGAUGAAGCAUGCGUAGGUUAUAAAUGAAUGACCCUUAGCAGCAUGGCUUUGAGUUGAAAAGGGGCUGCAGAGUUGAAGAAAAUGAGUUGAUGUUUGUACUUGCAUACUUUCUAUUGCUGAUUUUGGGCUUUGCGUGUAUGUAGCAGAUAGAGUAGGAAUUGAUAUUAAGUGUAGGAAAGUUGUGAGGUGACAAUUAAAAUCCCUCCAUCUUGUAUCAUUUGCGCGUUUGUGAUACUAAUUUCGAGUUUUGCUAA